CUCGAAACGGCCGUCCACAGCCGUUUCAUGCGCCUCCAUGCCUCCAUGUUUUAUGUGGGCACAGUACAAACGGAGAUGGAUUCUUCGAGAAGCACAACCACGAGCACCAAUGUAUGCACAGCGUACCAUCGUACAUCCCGUCCCAAAGCGGUACCCAACAAACAACAGACGUCCUGACGACGUCUGUAGGAUAUCCCAUCUUGGACAAUGGGAUAUCCCUGGGAUCAGUCUGAGUAUCCCAUAGAUAUCCACGCGACGUACAGGAGACCAGGAUAUGGGCACUGUUUGGACAUCGCAGAUAUAUCCCUGCGAUGUCACCUCGUGAUAUUGGGACAAAUGUAGGACGUUUAUGAACCGUUAUUGUUCUGACUGUUCAAAUUCAAUAUACAGUGAACCCUCGUUAUUAUGACCAUGGUCGUUCCCGAAAAUGUUGGUCGUAAUGAGGAAUUGUCAUAUUAACGGGGAUGAUUUGCAGGGCUUUCACUGCAUUGUUCCCCAGGAGUACUGUCGUAAAGCGCGCGUGUCAGAUUAUCGGGGGUCAUAUUAACGAGGGUUCACUGUAAUGUGCACUUAUUUUACUUGAUGCAUCAGAAGUGACGACUCCCCGGUUUUAUUGACGGAAAGUAGCCUACAUAUAGUAUGUUAAUUAAUGAACGUAAACGUGUUUAAAGGUGCUUUCAUCCUAAAAAUAAGAGAAGUCCCCCAAUGUGCGCCCCCUCCACCCCACCGCAUUCGCGGAGGGAGAGCACAGCAUCCACAAUAGCGUCUGUUGCCGAAGUGACUGGAGCAUAUACUGAAAUACAAGUUGUAGGGGUACGUUCAUUAUAAGAGUAUUGCGGCGUAACACAUUUCUAAUGGUGAGGGGGUGCGUCUUUGCAGUUAAUUCGUGUAUGUUCAGAUUCAAAGUAUAACCAAUAAAGUUUCUGACUUUC